AACGAACGCUGGCGGCAUGCCUAACACAUGCAAGUCGAACGGGAUCCUGGUUUCGGCCAGGUGAGAGUGGCGGACGGGUGAGUAACGCGUGGGAACCUGCCCAGUGGUGGGGGAUAACUGCGGGAAACUGCAGCUAAUACCGCAUGAGCCCGAGAGGGGAAAGAUUUAUCGCCAUUGGAGGGGCCCGCGUUCGAUUAGGUAGUUGGUGGGGUAACGGCCUACCAAGCCGACGAUCGAUAGCUGGUCUGAGAGGAUGAUCAGCCACACUGGGACUGAGAUACGGCCCAGACUCCUACGGGAGGCAGCAGUGGGGAAUCUUGGACAAUGGGCGCAAGCCUGAUCCAGCCAUGCCGCGUGAGUGAUGAAGGCCCUAGGGUUGUAAAGCUCUUUUGUCGGGGACGAUAAUGACGGUACCCGAAGAAUAAGCUCCGGCUAACUUCGUGCCAGCAGCCGCCGUAA
rnacentral:rRNA from 1 species